ACAAUAUAUAAAGCAAGUUGCAGUUAGUUUCGACCUAAAAGAUUGAUUUAUUAAAAUCUAUAUAUA
rnacentral:tRNA from 1 species